rnacentral:rRNA from 1 species
UACGUAGGGGGCAAGCGUUGUCCGGAUUUAUUGGGCGUAAAGAGCUCGUAGGCGGCUAUUCACGUCGGAUGUGAAAGCUCAAGGCUCAACCUUGAGAGGCCAUUCGAUACGGGAUAGCUAGAGGUAGGUAGGGGAGAUCGGAAUUCCUGGUGUAGCGGUGAAGUGCGCAGAUAUCAGGAGGAACACCGAUGGCGAAGGCAGAUCUCUGGGCCUUACCUGACGCUGAGGAGCGAAAGCUGGGGGAGCGAACAGG